AAUGAACGCUGGCGGCAUGCCUAACACAUGCCAGUCGAACGAAACCAUCGGGUCUAGUCGCGCACGGCUUCGUAACGCGUGGGAACCUGCCCAUAGGUUCGGCCUAACUCCCAGAAUGGGGUGCUAAUACCGGAUCAUGUCUUCGGACCAAAGAUUUAUCGCCCUUGAAGGGGCACGCGUUGGAGUCGCUUGUUGGUAGGGUAAUAGGCUACCACGGCGACGAUCCAUAGCUGGGCUGAGAGGAAGAUCCGACACUCUGGGACUGAGACACGGCCGGGAAUCCUCCGCGAGGCGGCAGUGGCGAAUAUUGCAAAGCGGCCGGAGGGCUGAUCCAGCUAUGCCGCGAGAGCGAUGAAGGCCUUGAGGUUGUAAAGCUCUUUUACCCGGGAUGAUAAUGACAGUACCGAGAGAAUAAGCACCGGCUAACUCCGUG
rnacentral:rRNA from 1 species